UACGUAGGUGGCAAGCGUUGUCCGGAUUUAUUGGGUUUAAAGGGUGCGUAGGUGGUCUAUUAAGUCAGUGCUGAAAUAUCCCGGCUUAACCGGGAGGGUGGCAUUGAUACUGAUGGACUUGAGUAAAGUUGAGGUAGGCGGAAUUGACGGGUGUAGCGGUGAAAUGCUUAGAUAUCGUCAAGAACACCUAUUGCGAAGGCAGCUUACUAAGCUUUAACUGACACUGAUGCACGAAAGUGUGGGGAUCAAACAGG
rnacentral:rRNA from 1 species